rnacentral:rRNA from 1 species
UACGGAGGGUGCGAGCGUUAAUCGGAAUUACUGGGCGUAAAGCGCACGUAGGUGGUUAGGUAAGUCGGAUGUGAAAGCCCUGGGCUUAACCUGGGAACUGCAUUCGAUACUGUCUAACUAGAGUAUGGGAGAGGGAAGCGGAAUUUCCGGUGUAGCGGUGAAAUGCGUAGAUAUCGGAAGGAACACCAAUGGCGAAGGCAGCUUCCUGGCCCAAUACUGACACUCAGGUGCGAAAGCGUGGGGAUCAAACAGG